rnacentral:rRNA from 1 species
AUUGAACGCUGGCGGCAGGCCUAACACAUGCAAGUCGAACGAGUGGCGGACGGGUGAGUAAUGUCUGGGACACUGCCUGAUGGAGGGGGAUAACUACUGGAAACGGUAGCUAAUACCACAUACCAUCAGAUGUGCCCAGAUGGGAUUAGCUUGUUGGGGGUGUAACGGCGCACCAAGGCGAUGAUCUCUAGCUGGUCUGAGAGGAUGACCAGCCACACUGGAACUGAGACACGGUCCAGAUUCCUACGGGAGGCAGCAGUGGGGAAUAUUGCACAAUGGGCGCAAGCCUGAUGCAGCCAUGCCGCGUGGAUGAAGAAGGCCUUCGGGUUGUAAAGGACUUGCAGCGGGGAGGCGUUACCCGCAGAAGAAGCACCGGCUAACUCCGUGCCAGCAGCCGCGGUAAUAC